UAGAGUUUGAUCCUGGCUCAGAUUGAACGCUGGCGACAGGCUUAACACAUGCAAGUCGAGCGGAAACGAUGGUAGCUUGCUACCAGGCGUCGAGCGGCGGACGGGUGAGUAACGCUUGGGAAUCUGCCUUGAGGUGGGGGAUAACAGUUGGAAACGACUGCUAAUACCGCAUGAUGUCUUCGGACCAAAGUAGGGGAUCUUCGGACCUUACGCCUUUAGAGGAGCCCAAGUGAGAUUAGCUAGUUGGUGAGGUAAUGGCUCACCAAGGCGACGAUCUCUAGCUGGUUUGAGAGGAUGAUCAGCCACACUGGGACUGAGACACGGCCCAGACUCCUACUGGAGGCAGCAGUGGGGAAUAUUGCACAAUGGGGGAAACCCUGAUGCAGCCAUGCCGCGUGUGUGAAGAAGGCCUUCGGGUUGUAAAGCACUUUCAGUUGUGAGGAAAGGUGUGUAGUUAAUAGCUGCAUACUGUGACGUUAACAACAGAAGAAGCACCGGCUAACUUCGUGCCAGCAGCCGCGGUAAUACGAGGGGUGCAAGCGUUAAUCGGAAUUACUGGGCGUAAAGCGUUCGUAGGCGGUUGAAUAAGCAAGAUGUGAAAGCCCAGGGCUCAACCUUGGAACUGCAUUUUGAACUGUUCGACUAGAGUACUGUAGAGGGGGGUAGAAUUUCA
rnacentral:rRNA from 1 species